AACACCCGUAUUAGUGACGCGUAUCGGAUUACUGGGCGUAAAGCGUGCGUAGGCGGCUUUUUAAGUCGGAUGUGAAAUCCCUGAGCUUAACUUAGGAAUUGCAUUCGAUACUGGGAAGCUAGAGUAUGGGAGAGGAUGGUAGAAUUCCAGGUGUAGCGGUGAAAUGCGUAGAGAUCUGGAGGAAUACCGAUGGCGAAGGCAGCCAUCUGGCCUAAUACUGACGCUGAGGUACGAAAGCAUGGGGAGCAAACAGGAUUAGAUACCCUGGUAGUCCAUGCCGUAAACGAUGUCUACUAGCCGUUGGGGCCUUUGAGGCUUUAGUGGCGCAGCUAACGCGAUAAGUAGACCGCCUGGGGAGUACGGUCGCAAGACUAAAACUCAAAUGAAUUGACGGGGGCCCGCACAAGCGGUGGAGCAUGUGGUUUAAUUCGAUGCAACGCGAAGAACCUUACCUGGUCUUGACAUAGUAAGAACUUUCCAGAGAUGGAUUGGUGCCUUCGGGAACUUACAUACAGGUGCUGCAUGGCUGUCGUCAGCUCGUGUCGUGAGAUGUUGGGUUAAGUCCCGCAACGAGCGCAACCCUUUUCCUUAUUUGCCAGCGGGUUAAGCCGGGAACUUUAAGGAUACUGCCAGUGACAAACUGGAGGAAGGCGGGGACGACGUCAAGUCAUCAUGGCCCUUACGACCAGGGCUACACACGUGCUACAAUGGUCGGUACAAAGGGUUGCUACCUAGCGAUAGGAUGCUAAUCUCAAAAAGCCGAUCGUAGUCCGGAUUGGAGUCUGCAACUCGACUCCAUGAAGUCGGAAUCGCUAGUAAUCGCGGAUCACAAUGCCGCGGUGAAUACGUUCCCGGGGCCUUGUACACACCGCCCGUCACACCAUGGGAAAUUUGUUGCACCAGAAGUAGGUAGUCUAACCCGCAAGGAGGACGCUUACCACGGUGUGUCCGAUGACUGGGGUGAAGUCGUAACCAAGGUAACUCAC
rnacentral:rRNA from 1 species